AUGAUCCCUUUCUUCACGAUACACCGGCGAGCACUUCCCGGGUCCUUGACAGUUCCUUGGUGGUCGCACAUCCUGUGGCGGUGGAGGAAUAAAGCAUCAACAGGCAACCCGAUGGUGAGCUGGGCAAAAGCUCCAGUGCAGCUUUCUGAUAGGACGCGGCUGCAGAGAGAGACACAGUUUCAGCCCGCGGCGGAGAGCCGCUGCGCCCGGGUGGGUGUGUUGCUCCAACAAACACGGACCAUCACAGCGGCGCGGCGGAGGGGGGCGGAGGGGGGCGGAGGGAGGCGGAGGGAGAGAGGUCUGAAUGGAGCAGCCGGCCCUGAGGCGGUGCCGCUGCCUUUAAGCUCCACCACAAACACAACAAGCCCUCGUCUUGUCCCAAAACGUGCAAACAACAGCAAAAGGGGAACCGAGAGCGGCAAAACAAACAAACGGCAGGGGCGGAAACAAACAGGAUGGACUCGGUCAGCGCUGAAAACCAGACAGGCAUGCAACAGGAACCAGACUAAUUCAAAUGACUCCCCGGCUCCGCUGCCAUAUGGAACGGGGAAUAGGAAAACCCUCCAAAAAGCCGAGCUGAUGACUGCAGUCGCCUUCGCUUCGUCCGAGCCCAGGUUCCAUUCGCAGCGUGUCCGAGUUGGAUGCGGGCGACUCCGGGGGUCUCGCGCUCAUGCUGGAUGUUCCCGUCAGCGGCGUCCCGUCGGGGGUGGCUGGCUCGGUCCCCGGCGGGUUCCUGGGAGUGCUGUCAGGGCAGAGGGAGGGAGGGAGGACAACCCUCCGUUGGAGCGCCGGGCAGACAGAGGAAGUGACUGGACAUUCCAGACGGCGGACAUGGCCGGGAGAAGUCUUGCGAGCGGCUCCAAUCCGCCACCGGAGUGCGGAACAGCAGACUGCUUCCUUGUUCUCCUUCUUCUCUCCGGUUUCCUACCCUCAGACCCUGCCCUCAAAUUCCAGAAUAGAAAAACACAUUUUACCCCUCACACACACACACACAAACACGCACACACACACAUACACACACACAUAUGUGAGCUGCCGCAUUCCUCGGUUUCCUCAUGUUUCUUGUAUCAUCUUUAUCUUCUGAUGUUUCAUCCCCUUGGCAGGCAUCUUUACUCUCUUUCCACCUUUCUUUUUUUUUUCCCCGUCCCAAAUGUUUCCUUCUCGUCAGCCUUCCAGAACGUCCCCCCUCUCUCUCUCUCCCUCUCGCUCUCUCCUUCCCUCUCAGGAAAAAGGAGCCUCCAUAUGGUUCUGAUCAUUCUUGGCUUUUCUUAUUUUUGCCCUCCUAGAACAUCGGCCGGCGCUCGGCCCUCCUACUUCCCUCCUCCCCCCCAUUAG
ensembl:lncRNA